AACCAAAACCGGAACAACAUUCGA
rnacentral:miRNA from 1 species